CAGUCGCCGCGGUAAUACAGAGGGUGCGAGCGUUAAUCGGAUUUACUGGGCGUAAAGCGUGCGUAGGCGGCUUUUUAAGUCGGAUGUGAAAUCCCUGAGCUUAACUUAGGAAUUGCAUUCGAUACUGGGAAGCUAGAGUAUGGGAGAGGAUGGUAGAAUUCCAGGUGUAGCGGUGAAAUGCGUAGAGAUCUGGAGGAAUACCGAUGGCGAAGGCAGCCAUCUGGCCUAAUACUGACGCUGAGGUACGAAAGCAUGGGGAGCAAACAGGAUUAGAUUCCCCAGUAGUCCCUGUCUCUUAUAU
rnacentral:rRNA from 1 species